UGUAAAUAGGCAGGGAAAUAAUGUGGGAAGCCCAGAGUUCAAUGUGAGGACCCCCUGUUAGCAAAUGGCCGCGAGACUUAUUAUUCAUAAAAUUUGGGUCCUCGAUUGACCCUAGGAAGUCCAUCUCAGCAGGUAAAUUCCUUCCAGGGGUUCACAUCAAAUGCAUCUUUCUUCUCCUGGCCCACAACUACUCAGCGAAUUAAAAAGAGGCACCUUCCCCCAGGUGGAGGCUGCCCCAGGCCAACUUGGUAAAGCUUGGUGGGCAGAGUGUGGUUUCAGUGCCUACUUCUCCCUCGGCUCAGGGCCUGUCUUUAAUGAUUCGCCUGCAGCAGAUGAAUGAGAUAUUACUCUGGUUUAGGUUGCUGAAUUUUUUUAUUUUUAUUUUUUGCCAAGAUCACAUCCUUUUAAACUUGAGAGUUGCGAUGGUUAAUUUUAUGUGUCAACUCAACUGGAUCAUGGCGUGCCCAGUUAUUUGGCUGAACAUGAUUUCAAGGUGUGUCUGUGAUUGUUUCUGGGUGAGAUUAGCAUUUGAAUCUGUAGGAUAAGUAAAGCAGAUUGUCUUCCCUAAUGUAGAAGGAAGAAUUCUCUCUUUCUCUCUCCCCCCGCCCCCCUUUUCCCUCUCCCUCUCCCUCUCUGUCUGGGUAACUGAACUAGGACAUCAAUGUUCUGUUGCUCUCAGACUGGACCUACAUCAUCAUGGAUGCUCCUGGGAGAGCUUGGCAAGCAGAGCACUAGCUGCUUCUCAGGCCUUCAGACUGGGAAUGGAACUACACCAAUCGGCUCUCCUGGGACUUCAGCUUGCAGAUCGCAGGUUGUGGGACUUCUCAGCCUUCCUAAUCAUGGGUCUAUUCUCAUCACACUUGCUGCAUUUAUGACUUCAUCCCCAGGGAGGAUUCGUGAGCCAAGAGAUGCAUGAUUUUUCCACUCUAUAUAUACACCUGCUGUGAACUGCAGUCUGGUAGGCAAGAGAGGAUGAAGAAUAGAGAACAGAAAGUAAGGCGAGCAUACAAGUCAGAUGCAUGUUUGUAGGUGGCGGAUGUUCCCCGCCAGAGCUUCGUGGAUUUAACAUCACUCCUUUUGAUUUCGUCAUGAAAUUGAGACAAUAGCAAUUCCGUUACCCCCUCCCCCCCCAUCACAGCACCUCUCCAGUGUGAAUGUACUACUGCUCUUUCCCUGGGUUCCUAACGCUGCCUGGCUACAUGGCAUCAGCAGAGGUAACUGACUGCAAACUCAGAUGUGGUGCUUUUCUUUUCCGUUUGCCUGGAGUGGUGGACCAGUUUUGAGGAGUGACAAAUGCGUGCUGGCAGCACCACGUUGUCUCCCGGCUCCGGGAGACUGGGCUCCAGGAAGCACAGGCAUCUCCGAGGCUGAAGGAGCUCGCAGGCACUGACAGGCUUCUGCUGGAGAGGCAGCCCAGUGGAGGGUUGCUACGCUGCAGCUUUGAAGAGACACUUCGGCCUCAAUCACAUGUCUCAUUUGUCACCAUUUUCCUUGGCUCCUAAACUGUCCCCUAGAGUACAACAACUACCACGAGAUACUCUCAUCACAACAGAAAGACUGUGAAGUAGUAAGGCUGAGUCAUACUUAUGACCUAGUUCCAAGUUUUAAAAAAGUUACCAUCAAGUUACCUAUAACAUCAAGACAUUCUACAUCUUAAGCCCUGCCAUUGAAUGUUGGUCCCACAAGGGUUCCCUCUGCACUCACUGUGCUGUUGGUUUGUUGAUGAAUUAUACGCCCAGACGAGCUGGGUUGGAAUCCUCACGCACCACUUAUUAGGUCACUUGUGUGACCUUGGGUCCCACCAAGAUAAAAGACUGGCUCUGGAGGACAUGCUACGCAGGACAGAUGACAAUGCUGACAAUGGCCAGAGCCAAAGGGAAGCCUGCCAUCGGAUUGCAUAAGGAUGGUGCUGGGUGCUCUGAACGCUGGGGCGCUGGCCCUGCUCUGAUGCUCAGGGGGUAUGACCUUGCAGAAUGCUUCUACCACUGUUGGCCUUUCAUUCAGAGACCUCACUGAUCUCUAAUCCUUCCCCCAUGGUGAGGACAAAGAAAAAUAACAUCAUGGAAAAUGUAUCUUAAUCAUUGAUUAGAUGAAAGCUUUGGGAUGAUGUGUAGGUUUGAUGUGUUACUCUGUUCCUCAUUAGCACAGAAACAAAAGAAUUAACUGGGUAUUAAUUUUCCCUUCAGAGGAAAAACACUUAGAACCUCAAUGCUAAACGGUAUUUUCCUAUGAAAUGUUUUAACUCUAUGUGCUCUACUUUUAUUCUACUCAUACUGAUAAAAAAAAUGUUCCAACUUCAUAGCCUAGAGAUACUAUUCUUUGGGAUUGGAGACUGUGAUUUAUUGGGAAUAUUAUUGAAUAUAACAACAAUAAGAAUGACUACCUUUAAUUUUCUUCCUGUUUGUUUCCAAGGUUGCUUAGAUGCUUUAUAUAUGUUAGUUUAAUUCCAACAAUAUGCCUUUAGGAACUGUGUAGGUCCUUUUAUGACAAUUUGAAUUAUGCAAAUUUGCAAUCGUAUUAUGCAAACAUUAGGCACAAAAUCAGAUAUACUCCCAAAUUAAAUGAAAAAUGAACAAGAAUUCCAAAACAUAUGGGCCAAAAGAAUUCUUUUCACUCUAUUACCACAAGGCAGUACUUCUUCACCUGGUAACCAGAAGUGCCUGCCGUUCUCUGUCAAGACUCUUCUUGGAUUCCAUCAGUUCUUGAGAAAACAUUCUUUGCAUAAAAUGCAAUUCUCUCAUACUGUAAUCCCGGAGAGCACAGGGCAGUGUGGUGCAUUCCUCACACAGUGAGCCAUCCGUAAACGACCAUUUGAUGGAUUUGAAUAGGCUGAAAGGGGAGUGUGGUCAGAAACAAGCUGGUUAGGCCUUCACCUUUGGAAAUGUGAGCCUGACCACUGUCCUUUUAUCCCUUCCCAGCUCAAGGACAAGGUCUGCAUUUCCAGUUAAGGUUGCAAGAUAACUAGUGAUGUCCGGCUGAGUACCAAGUGGCUUUAAUUUCAUCCCCUCAAUCUUGCUCUUCGAUUCCUCCCUUCGUUUUAUCUCUCUUUCUCUCCUAUUGCCUUCAGCAAAAUAGCGCAUGUGUGAGGGCUUUGCAUACAUAACCUUUAUUUUCAAAUAAUUGUAGAUUCACAGGGAGUUGAAAAAAAAAACAAACGAAACAAAACAGACAGGUCCUAUGUACCCUUCACUCAGGUCUCCCAGUGGCAACAUCUUACAGACGAGGGUAGCAUGUUUGUUUUUGAUGGACAGUAGCUCACUGAGUUUAAAUUCCAGGGGGGGAAAACCCAUGUUGAGAUGCAGUUACCUUCUCACCAGGCCUCAAACUAAGGCGGGCUUCACAUGUGCCAAAGCCCCAUAUGCAGAAGGAUGCAAUUCGCAUCGUGAAGUUCUUAAUGAUUGUACCUUUGAGUUGUGUGUUGUAUGUGAAAUAGGAGAACAAUGGAGCAUGUGCCGGGGGUGGGGAGCCUUGGAUGGUAUGUGGUUCCACUUCUGUCUCUGUUCUGUGGUCAGGGUGUGGGCACCCCACUCAGUGCCCACUGUUUCCUUCCCCUGCUGCAGGGCGCUGGGUGUGGGUUCCAGAGGGUCAGGGGGUGGGGGGAGGGGGCAUUUGGUGCCUGUGACCAGCUGCACUUGCCCCCAUGAACAUCCUGAGGGAGGUAUUGUGUAGUAAGUAACAGACACAAAACACCAUGACUAGCUGUGACAGAGAUGGCUGGAGAAAGGAAAAAGCUUUUACACUGCAUUUUGGACAAAGGGCCGGCAUUUUCAUUUUGCGCUGGGCCCCACAAAUUGUAUUGCCAGCACACUUAAAACUGUUUUAUAGCGCAGCCUCUUACAGGAAACCUAGGCAUGAAGAUGAAUAUUUACCAGGAAAUAGGAAGCUUCGACAAGCACAGAGGGAUAUUUGUUUGUCAAAGGCAAAGCUAGUUCCCGCGAAGGCCAGAGAAAUCUUCCUAAAGCACAUUCUUAUCAAGCCAGAGACUGUACCCCUGCUCACCAAGACAGCGUGGCCCUGGGGGCUCCGUAAAUAGUCUAGCCGCACCCUGCCUGCAGGCUUCACCGUACCUUGAUUCAAAUCCAUGCUUGCUGCCAAGGGAAUGCAGUUCAUGCUUUCCCAGUUCUGUGCCUCUGCUGAUGCCAUUGUGUGUUUAAAACGCCAAUUUAACUUCUCUCCUAAAGCCCCCCGCCUGUGCCCACCUCCUGGCCUUGGCACCUGUUUCCUCCCUUUCCUCGGCCUGUGCAGCUGGGACCCACUCGUCUUUCAGGACGAAGCUCACCUUCCAGAACAACUGGACACAGCAUUAAGCCUGAGAGAGAUCAAAACUAAUUGCCGGAACGAGAAUCACAGGCAUUCACUGCGUCUGUACCAAGGACGGGCUUGGAAAAGGGUGUAAUCAACUAGCAGCACACGGUCUCCAGUGUGACCUCUGUGUUCUUCACAGUGCCAUUCUCUUCGGGGAACUGGCUGCCUUUGUGGCCUGUGGGAUGAAAAGCUUCCCAAAAUAGAGGCCAGGAAUGAGGCCUGGUUCUGAUGGGAGGGACCAGAGCUGGAGGGCACCUUCCUAUGAGCACGGGGCAUCUGUGUUACUCUUUCAGCAAAGCAUUUUGAUUUUCCUCAUCAAUAAAAAGCACGUUGAUUUUCCUUAUCAAUAAAAAUGUAGGUGCCCAUAAACAUUUUGGGUAUCUGGGGGAUGUGAAAAGGUCAAGUGAGGUAUUAAUCCAGAGAGUGAGAGGUUUGGGGCAGAAAUGGGACCAUUAAGUCAAAAUGGUGUGCAUUAAAAAAUGGUAGAGUGAUCUGUUCUGGUUGUCCUGGGUAAGAACACUAGGCCUGUGACCAGCUCAGCUGGGUUGAGAUGAGGCUGCAUAAGCUCUAGGAUAAGAGACUGGAGCUGUAUUCCAUUGUGUAGAUGUACCACAGUUUUUUAACCCAUUCAUCUGCUGAUGGGCACUUAGGCUGA